AGUGAACGCUGGCGGUAGGCCUAACACAUGCAAGUCGAACGGCAGCACAGUAAGAGCUUGCUCUUACGGGUGGCGAGUGGCGGACGGGUGAGGAAUACAUCGGAAUCUACUUUUUCGUGGGGGAUAACGUAGGGAAACUUACGCUAAUACCGCUUACGACCUACGGGUGAAAGCAGGGGAUCUUCGGACCUUGCGCGAUUGAAUGAGCCGAUGUCGGAUUAGCUAGUUGGCGGGGUAAAGGCCCACCAAGGCGACGAUCCGUAGCUGGUCUGAGAGGAUGCUCAGCCACACUGGAACUGAGACACGGUCCAGACUCCUGCGGGAGGCAGCAGUGGGGAAUAUUGGACAAUGGGCGCAAGCCUGACCCAGCCAUACCGCGUGGGUGAAGAAGGCCUUCGGGUUGUAAAGCCCUUUUGUUGGGAAAGAAAAGCAGCAGGUUAAUACCCCGCUGUUCUGACGGUACCCAAAGAAUAAGCACCGGCUAACUUCGUG
rnacentral:rRNA from 1 species